UGGGGGAUAUUGCACAAUGGGCGAAAGCCUGAUGCAGCGAUGCCGCGUGAGGGAAGACGGUCUUUGGAUUGUAAACCUCUGUCUUCGGGGACGAUAAUGACGGUACCCGAGGAGGAAGCCACGGCUAACUACGUGCCAGCAGCCGCGGUAAUACGUAGGUGGCGAGCGUUGUCCGGAAUUACUGGGUGUAAAGGGAGCGUAGGCGGGAAGAUAAGUCAAAUGUUAAAUCUAUCGGCUCAACCGGUAGCUGCGUUUGAAACUAUCUUUCUUGAGUGAAGUAGAGGUUGGCGGAAUUCCUAGUGUAGCGGUGAAAUGCGUAGAUAUUAGGAGGAACACCAGUGGCGAAGGCGGCCAACUGGGCUUUUACUGACGCUGAGGCUCGAAAGCGUGGGGAGCAAACA
rnacentral:rRNA from 1 species